UAAGGCAUUCUCAUUUGAGUAUUGGCAAGCUAUGAGUAAGGGUAUAGCAACCUGAAACGCGUCAGCCUUGUUUGGGACUGUUUUUCCAUGUGCAAUUUUUCUACUUUUGUAUAUGUCCGUGUCUUUCUGCCACCAUGAAGGUUUUUAACGAGGAUUCGUGAAUAAAGUUUUGAAGAUUUCAUUCAGCCGUGCUGGCCUUUUUCUACUUUUUUCUGCUUUGGUUGGAGGUAGCCGUGCACGCCCCAGGAGAACCAGAGAACUAGAGAACAGCAGGAUUUCCAUCAGCCCUUCCUCAGGUUUGUGGCAGCCUUCCCUGCAUGGAGCCCCAGACCUCCACCUCCCGUACUAGGCCGGCAGGGGGUGGAAGAGACACUGCAACGACCAACUCCCAGGAGGGGACGGAAGCCGCAAGGCUGCAAGCAUGUCUGCAAGCAAGGCUACAAACAAGGCUACAGGAAAAGGCCUACAUGGAGAUCUGUGUAUCCUGCUAAUUUUAUUAUGAUAAAGUCAUCAUUGGAAAUAACUUAUUCUGUGAUUGAAGAAAGGAAGCAAAAAAUAUGUUGAGAAAAAAAGAGAAUGCAGAAUUAACUUGAAAUAUGUUUUG